rnacentral:rRNA from 1 species
GACGAACGCUGGCGGCGUGCCUAAUACAUGCAAGUAGAACGCACAGUUUAUACCGUAGCUUGCUACACCAUAGACUGUGAGUUGCGAACGGGUGAGUAACGCGUAGGUAACCUGCCUGGUAGCGGGGGAUAACUAUUGGAAACGAUAGCUAAUACCGCAUAAUAUUGAUUAUUGCAUGAUAAUUGAUUGAAAGAUGCUAUUGCAUCACUACCAGAUGGACCUGCGUUGUAUUAGCUAGUAGGUGAGGUAACGGCUCACCUAGGCGACGAUACAUAGCCGACCUGAGAGGGUGAUCGGCCACACUGGGACUGAGACACGGCCCAGACUCCUACGGGAGGCAGCAGGAGGGAAUCUUCGGCAAUGGACGAGAGUCUGACCGAGCAACGCCGCGUGAGUGAGGAAGGUUUUCGGAUCGUAGAGCUCUGUUGUAAGAGAAGAACGGGUGUGAGAGUGGAAAGUUCACACUGUGACGGUAUCUUACCAGAAAGGGACGGCUAACUACGUG